rnacentral:tRNA from 1 species
GGGCGGCUAGCUCAGCUGGGAGAGCGCCGCGUUCGCAACGCGGAGGUCGCGGGUUCGAGCCCCGCGCCGUCCA